AUGGUACACUUAUCACAAGGGUCCGACAUCUUUCGUUGGAACCUACAUGGGAAUGAGCAAUUCUCAGUGUAUAGAGUUUUGAUCCAGUCUUAUGUGCCAGAUGAUAACAAUUGUAUGAUCUGGAAGAUGAACAUACCCCUUAAGAAUAAAAUCUUUGCAUGGUAUCUUCGUCACGGUGUCAUUCUUGCUAAAGAUAACCUCAUUAAGAGGAAUUGUCAUAGAAGUAAGCAAUGUGUAUUUUCUCCGCAUGAUGAGACAAUAAAACAUUUGUUCUUCCAUGUAAAUUGGCUCGUUCUAUAUGGCCAGUCAUCCAAAUAG
rnacentral:rRNA from 1 species